CCCUUAGAUGUUCUGGGCUGCACGCGUGUUACAAUCGGGAGUACAACAAGAUUGCAAAUCCUAGUGGAUGAGUGGUUCUUCGAAAUUUUCUGAAGACUGGGAUAGUUGAUUGAAAUUAUUCAACUCGAACGAGGAAUUCCUUGUAAUUGUAAUUCAUUAUAUUGUAAUGAAUACAUCCCUGCCCUUUGUACACACCGCCCGUCGCUCCUACCGAUUGAACGAUCCGGUGAAUUAUUUGGAGUAGCUCUGGAAGUUGCAGAACUUCCUAUGUCACGAAAUUUUGUAAACCUUAUCGUUUAGAGGAAGGAAAAGUCGUAACA
rnacentral:rRNA from 1 species